CACUACAAGAAAGAAGGCUUUUUCUGACCAACUCUAGCGACUAACUUCGAGGUUGGUCGCUUAUAGUUGACUUUUUGAGACCACUUUUGAAGUUGGUCGCCAAUUUGAAGAUGAAAGCGACCAACUUCGCGACCAACUCCGAAGUUGGUCGCCAAUUUGAAGAUGAAAGCGACCAACUUCGCGACCAACUCCGAAGUUGGUCGCCAAUUUGAAGAUGAAAGCGACCAACUUCGCGACCAACUCCGAAGUUGGUCGCCAAUUUGAAGAUGAAAGCGACUAACUUCGCGACCAACUCCGAAGUUGGUCGCCAAUUUGAAGAUGAAAGCGACUAACUUCGC
rnacentral:lncRNA from 1 species